AGAGUUUGAUUAUGGCUCAGGAUGAACGCUGGCGGCGUGCUUAACACAUGCAAGUCGAACGGAGUUUUAACGGAAGUUUCGGAUGGAAGUUUAAGAACUUAGUGGCGGACGGGUGAGUAACGCGUGGGUAACCUGCCUCAUACAGGGGGAUAACAGUUAGAAAUGACUGCUAACACCGCAUAAUAUAGUGAAACCGCAUGAUUUUUGCUAUCAAAUAUUUAUAGGUAUGAGAUGGGCCCGCGUCUGAUUAGCUAGUUGGUGGGGUAAAAGCCUACCAAGGCGACGAUCAGUAGCCGGCUCGAGAGAGUGACCGGCCACAUUGGGACUGAGACACGGCCCAAACUCCUACGGGAGGCAGCAGUGGGGAAUAUUGGACAAUGGGGGAAACCCUGAUCCAGCGACGCCCGCGUGAGUGAAGAAGUAUUUCGGUAUGUAAAGCUCUAUCAGCAGGGAAGAUAAUGACAGUACCUGACUAAGAAGCCCCGGCUAACUACGUGCCAGCAGCAGC
rnacentral:rRNA from 1 species